GGAAUUUGGAGAGAGAAUGUUUUGUACUAACUUGAGGUGUCUUCCAUUUUAUUCCAGUGGCUUGCUUGCUCCAUCCUAUUUAAUUCUAUGGUGAUGUCUAGAAAGCUUCAUCAACUCCUGCUGACUCAGUCACCUCUUCCAAAUUUUCGAGCUGAUGUCCAGAUGGCAGGAAAUCUCUCCCUCCUCAACUUCACAUCUGAGCUUCCCUAGCCUCCCUCUAGACUCAGCUCAAAUCCCAAACCAGAAGAGGAGAAUGAUUUUUGGAUUUGCAUGGACCAAACAUAAAUGACUAAGUUGAUGACGUGUAUAUAGAUACAGAAUAUCUUUAUAUAGAUAAUAUAUAUAUUAUAUAAUAUCUAUAGUCUAUAUAUACAAUAUGUAUCUAUGUGUAUAUAAUAUAAAUAUUACAUCUCUAUAUAGAGGGCAUCAUAUAUAAUAUCUAUACA
rnacentral:lncRNA from 1 species